rnacentral:tRNA from 1 species
GCGGAUGUGGCGGAAUGGCAGACGCAUCAGACUCAAAAUCUGACGAGCUUACACUCGUGCGGGUUCAAGUCCCGCCAUCCGCA